AUGACAAGUAAGAGUGCAAGGAAAUUUGGAAUGAACUGGAAAAGAAAUAUAGAGAAUCCUGGGGAGAAUGAUACAAACACUUACGAAGUGGUAAAUGACAGGACAGUUGUAUUAAAGAGGUAUAUGAUCCUAUUUUUAGUCUUCACUUCGCAGCAAUUUUCUUCUUCGUCGGCAUCUCAUCAGCCGACAUCGUUGUCUUCCUCGCCUGCUCUGUGCAUCGGCAUCUCAUCGCAUGACAUUGUUGUCUUCCUCAUCAGCUCUGUGCAUUGGCAUCUCUUCCUGUCGAUCAUUUCCAUCUGUGCUUCACAUCAACGGAAUGGAAGACGCAAUUGGCACUACUGAUGAAGCCCUUGCUCCAUCGCUUACGCCUACUGCACCUGAGGGGUCAGGUUUACAUGACUUCGUGAUUUCAGGUACGGUCCUCCAACGUGCUGUGCUACCGGAGGAUUCUUACGAGCUGAAGAUGAUACUCACAAAAUCCCUUACUUCAGCUACCCCCAUGCCGCUUAUCAGUUCCUGUAGCUUCAUAUAAAGUAGCCAAUUUCAGUUCCUGGAGCAUCAUAUAAAGGAGCCACUUUUGAAGCACCUUAACUAAGAUCUGAUAGGUAUCAUUGUUGAGAUGAAUUCAGAGUACAACACACUAUUACUUGGUUUAAUAUUUUAAAAAUAGGAAAAAGGAAAAGAAAAUUUACUAAUAAAAUCUUAUUUUAAUUUUAAAAAAAAUAAGUGACAUUUUAUAAGUGGCUCUUUGGGGAGAUCUCGCAAUAAACGAAGGGCAUGAACUAGAGGACAUGGAGUAAGAGGGACAGGUACUGGCAAUCUCCAAAAUCAAAGUAACUUCAUAUUAAGGUAUGAUCAACAUUAAUGGAUGGAUAAACUGUCUCUGUCAUCAAUGACAAUAACAACGAUACAAAUUAAUCCUCCACGUACAGAUGCAUACUUGCUAAAUGAAAGAACACUUGCAAAUGAAGAACAAAAGAAGGUGAAAGAUGUAUUGUGCCCAACAAAAAUAUGCACUUGCUGAGCAUAUUUCCGUAGAAGAUUUGAUUGAACAACCAUGCUCGAUCAAUGGUGAGCAUUGAGAACAAGGAUGAACCAUGGCACAAUGCCUGUAAAACUUGCAAGAAGAAAAUAUUUUCGAACGAUGGCAAUAUGAAAUGCCUGAAAUGCAGAGAGAAAAAUCCAGAAUCUUCACCUUGGUAUAUUCUCAAUGUGAUUGUUGAUGAUGGUAAAAGACAAGCUAUUGUCACAUUAUUUGAUGCAACAUCAACAAUUACAUAAUGCACUGUAGAUGAAUUUCUUGAUGCAAAACACAAGGAAGAUGAUCAAAAUGAAGAUGCACGAAGAAUUUUGGACUCCAAAGGAAAAUUAUUUAACUUCAUUGUGCAAGUUGAUAAUAUCUUUUGAAAUAGUCGAGCAUCUGGAAAGUUUAUAGCAAUAGAAGUACAUAACUAUGAAGCAACAAGGAAGGAGCAAGUGAUGAGCAACAAAAAAAGGAUCCACAUAAAAAAGGAGUUGCAUAGAUUGAAACAAAAAAUGAUCAAUCCUCAAAAGACUGAAAAUGAGAGAGAAAAGGCAGACAAUGACAAAGAAGAUGAUGAAGAACUGACCGAAUUAGAUAUUUGAAUAGCUAGAUAGAUUUAGAGUAGAUAAUAAUAGGUUUUUGAAUUUAUUUUAUAAUGAGAUUAGAUAAAUGACUUUAUGUAGUAGUUAUUUUAAAUAAAUAUGAGUACGUUCUUAAUUCUUUGUGGAGGAAAACCUGAAAUUGGUUAGUAUGCUGCCAGAAAGGAUGAACUAUGUAUGUAUAUAAUAUAUAUUCAUUUAAUUCUUUUU